AUGGUGGAAGUGGGUCCGGUGGGGGUUGCUUCGAAUUGGUGGUGUUGGUGAUGUUAUUCAUUUAGAAAGAACAGCAAUUGACCAAAAACCCUAAUAUAUAUAUAAUUGAAAUAUGUGGAGAGAGAGAGAGUGUGUGUGGAGAGGUGAGAAAGUCGCAAUUGAAGGCGACAGGAAUGACUGUAGUGAGUGAGAGGGAAAGGAGCGGAAGGGAUGAUUGGAUUUGGGGGUUAGGGUUGUUUUUUGAAGACAAGUGAGCAGACUCCAGGUGUGUGUGUUUCUUGCUGUUUGCGCUCUUUCUUUUUCGCUUUUUGCUUUGCUUUGCUUUGCUUUGCUGCUUCUUCCGUUAAGUCUGUUGUCCACUUCUGCCUUACGCUUCUUCUUAAUAUCUUUAAAUAUAAACGAUUAUUUCUUAAUAUCUUUAAGGGGUAAUUGCCUUGUAAAUUCCUAACGUUUACACCGAAUUGGUUUUUGCACCUUUUUUUAUUUUUCUACUUUUAAAUACCUAAUCUUUCCUUUUUGUCUCAAAUUUAUCCGGUGAUCGAUUUUUUCUCAUGCCGGCACCGGAAUUGACACCGUGGCAGCUGGAAUAGAUGAGGUGGCAGCCGGAAUUGACACCUAAACAUAACUUUUACAUGUGGUAAGAAAAUUUAAUAAAAAAAAAGAAGAGAAAAAUUUCCAACUUAUCAUCUUCCCAACCUAAUUCACCUCUCCUCCCUUCCCCCGCCGGAGCCGCCCACCGCCACCACACGCCGGCGCUGGCCACCCCCUCCCCCAUCCCCAGACCCAUCGGCCCUCCCCCAUCCCCAGACCCAUUGGCCCCUCCCCCAAAUCCCCAGAUCCCGUCUGCCCCUCCUCAAUGCCCAACCCGCCGCUGCCCAUGCCGCCACCAUCGUCGGCACCACCCCAUACCGUUCUCACCACAUUCGCAAGCACAGACGGCGCACAAAGGGCAACAAUUCGUGCCCUAGAUCCCAGAUCGAGGUGGUGCACAAAGGGCAACAAUUCAUGCCCUAGAUCUCCAAUUCUCCACCAAUUCGCGCCACCCCCUGCUGCGCCACCACCACCAUCGCCACCACCAAUUUCCCGCGCUUCACUGCUUCAAGUCUCGCCUCCACCUCGGAGAGUCUUCUCAUCGCUUUAAUUGGAAGAAUUGGAACUGGUGAGGUGUGCAGGGAGAGAGGGAAAGUCAGGGUGAGAGGGGAAGGGGUCGGUGGUUAGCAGGGGGGUGGCNGUGGAGAGAGAGAGAGAGAGAGUGGAGAGGUGAGAAAGUCGCAAUUGAAGGCGACAGGAAUGACUGUAGUGAGUGAGAGGGAAAGGAGCGGAAGGGAUGAUUGGAUUUGGGGGUUAGGGUUUUUUUUGAAGACAAGUGAGCAGACUCCAGGUGUGUGUGUUUUCUUGCUGUUUGCGCUCUUUCUUUUUCGCUUUUUGCUUUGCUUUGCUUUGCUGCUUCUUCC
rnacentral:lncRNA from 1 species